CUCUCUCCCUACACGUCUCUCUUCCCAUCUGUUAUAUUCACUUAACUAAAAGGAGUCUUUCAAAUCGAGACUGUUCUAGGGAAUGUAAAACGCAGUUGGA